UACGUAGGGACCUAGCGUUGUCCGGAAUCAUUGGGCGUAAAGCGCGCGUAGGCGGCCCGGUAAGUCCGUUGUAAAAGUCGAAGGCUCAACCUUCGAAAGCCGAUGGAUACUGCCGGGCUAGAGUCCGGAAGAGGCGAGUAGAAUUCCUGGUGUAGCGGUGGAAUGCGCAGAUAUCAGGAGGAGUACCCAUAGCGAAGGCAGCUCGCUGGGACGGUACUGACGCUGAGGCGCGAAAGCGUGGGGAGCGAACAGG
rnacentral:rRNA from 1 species